GAGUUUGAUCCUGGCUCAGAUUGAACGCUGGCGGCAGGCCUAACACAUGCAAGUCGAGCGGAAACGAGUUAACUGAACCUUCGGGGAACGUUAACGGCGUCGAGCGGCGGACGGGUGAGUAAUGCCUGGGAAAUUGCCCUGAUGUGGGGGAUAACCAUUGGAAACGAUGGCUAAUACCGCAUAAUAGCUUCGGCUCAAAGAGGGGGACCUUCGGGCCUCUCGCGUCAGGAUAUGCCCAGGUGGGAUUAGCUAGUUGGUGAGGUAAUGGCUCACCAAGGCGACGAUCCCUAGCUGGUCUGAGAGGAUGAUCAGCCACACUGGAACUGAGACACGGUCCAGACUCCUACGGGAGGCAGCAGUGGGGAAUAUUGCACAAUGGGCGCAAGCCUGAUGCAGCCAUGCCGCGUGUAUGAAGAAGGCCUUCGGGUUGUAAAGUACUUUCA
rnacentral:rRNA from 1 species